rnacentral:lncRNA from 1 species
GAGGCGGAAGCGGCAUUUUUAACGCUAAAAACAGCCAUGACAACUGUACCAGUCUUGGGGCUUCCUGACUUUACAAAGCCAUUUGUCGUAGAGACCGACGCUUUGGGGUAUGGGUUAGGAGCGGUCCUCAUGCAAGACCGGAGACCGAUUGCAUACUUCAGCCAUGUACUUCCCCAGCGGGUUAGAAGCAAGUCAAUUUAUGAAAGAGAGCUUAUGGCAAUUGUGCUGGCCAUACAAAAGUGGAGGCAUUAUUUGUUGGGGCGCAAAUUCAUUGUACGAACUGACCAACGAAGUCUGAAAUUCCUGUUAGAGCAACGAGAAGUAAAUCAGGAAUAUGAAAAAUGGUUAACCAAACUUUUGGGGUAUGACUUUGUUAUAGAGUACAAGGCUGGAGCAGAGAACAAGGUGGCCGAUGCACUAUCAAGGGUAGAUGUUGCGGCAACUAUAAUGGCUAUGAGUGUGCCUAGCACCUUUGCGCUGGACAUGGUCAAGAAGGCUGUGGAAGAAGAUGAAGAGUUGGGGGCGUUGAUCCCCUCCUUACAGGAUGGACAUUCCACUCCGCCGGGGUAUUCCCUGGUGCAAGGACACUUGCUAUACAAUAAUAGGCUGGUAUUGCCCAAGUCUUCUUUAUGGGUCCAGAUGGCUUUACAUGAAGGGCAUGAUAGUAAGGUUGGGGGUCAUGGUGGCUUCUUGAAGACAUACAGAAGAGUGGCAGAAACCUUCUUCUGGAAGGGUAUGAGAAGAGAUAUUCAUGCAUAUGUGGCUGCUUGUGCAAUCUGCCAACAGCAUAAAUACUCUACUUUGGCUCCGGCAGGGCUGCUCCAACCAUUGCCAGUCCCCGAUAAGAUUUGGGAAGACAUUUCAAUGGAUUUUGUGGAAGGGCUACCCCGAUCAGAAGGGUUCGAUUCAAUCUUGGUAGUGGUGGACCGCUUAAGCAAGUAUGCUCAUUUUAUAGGACUGAAGCAUCCAUUCUCAACUCCAGAAGUCGCUGCAACCUUUACUAAGGAAGUUGUGAAAUUACACGGGGUUCCCCGUUCCAUUGUAUCCGAUCGUGACAAGGUGUUCUUGAGUAAUUUUUGGGCUGAACUUUUUAAAUUACUGGGCACAGAAUUGAAACACAGCUCAGCAUAUCACCCGCAAACUGACGGACAGAUAGAAGUGGUAAACAGGGGGCUGGAGACAUAUUUGAGGUGUUUUACUUCUGUGAAACCCAAGUACUGGUAUAGAUUUCUACGUUGGGCAGAAUACUCUUACAAUACUUCCUACCAUGUGUCGGCAAAAUUCACCCCUUUUCGCAUAUUAUAUGGGUGAGACCCUCCCCCGUUGCUUCGUUUUGAACGAGGGGCUACUG